rnacentral:rRNA from 1 species
GACGAACGCUGGCGGCGUGCUUAACACAUGCAAGUCGAACGUGAUUUUUGUGGAAAUUCUUUCGGGAAUGGAAAUGAAAUGAAAGUGGCGAACGGGUGAGUAACACGUGAGCAACCUACCUUACACAGGGGGAUAGCCGUUGGAAACGACGAUUAAUACCGCAUGAGACCACCGAAUCGCAUGAUAUAGGGGUCAAAGAUUUAUCGGUGUAAGAAGGGCUCGCGUCUGAUUAGCUAGUUGGAAGGGUAAAGGCCUACCAAGGCGACGAUCAGUAGCCGGUCUGAGAGGAUGAACGGCCACAUUGGAACUGAGACACGGUCCAAACUCCUACGGGAAGCAGCAGUGGGGAAUAUUGCACAAUGGGGGGAACCCUGAUGCAGCGACGCCGCGUGAGCGAAGAAGGUUUUCGAAUCGUAAAGCUCUGUCCUAUGAGAAGAUAAUGACGGUAUCAUAGGAGGAAGCCCCGGCUAAAUACGUG